GAUGAACGCUGGCGGCGUGCCUAAUACAUGCAAGUCGAGCGAAUGGAUUAAGAGCUUGCUCUUAUGAAGUUAGCGGCGGACGGGUGAGUAACACGUGGGUAACCUGCCCAUAAGACUGGGAUAACUCCGGGAAACCGGGGCUAAUACCGGAUAACAUUUUGAACCGCAUGGUUCGAAAUUGAAAGGCGGCUUCGGCUGUCACUUAUGGAUGGACCCGCGUCGCAUUAGCUAGUUGGUGGGGUAACGGCUCACCAAGGCAACGUUGCGUAGCCGACCUGAGAGGGUGAUCGGCCACACUGGGACUGAGACACGGCCCAGACUCCUACGGGAGGCAGCAGUAGGGAAUCUUCCGCAAUGGACGAAAGUCUGACGGAGCAACGCCGCGUGAGUGAUGAAGGCUUUCGGGUCGUAAAACUCUGUUGUUAGGGAAGAACAAGUGCUAGUUGAAUAAGCUGGCACCUUGACGGUACCUAACCAGAAAGCCACGGCUAACUACGUGCCAGCCGCCGCGGUAA
rnacentral:rRNA from 1 species